rnacentral:rRNA from 1 species
GUGAAUGGCCUUCGGGAACUGUGAGACAGGUGCUGCAUGGCUGUCGUCAGCUCGUGUUGUGAAAUGUUGGGUUAAGUCCCGCAACGAGCGCAACCCUUAUCCUUUGUUGCCAGCGGUCCGGCCGGGAACUCCAAGGAGACUGCCAGUGAUAAACUGGAGGAAGGUGGGGAU